UAAGGGGAUCUUAAAUUGACUUGGUGUUGUCAGCACCCCGCUCUCUCAAGUGAGCUAACUAGCCAUCCCUAUAUGGGAUCCGAACCCGCGGCCUUGGUGUUAUCAGCACCGCACUCUGCCAGGAUAGGUUUCUAGGAUGUAACAGAAGGACCUAAGGAUUCCCGAUUCCUGCCCUGCCAGUCACAAUGCGAAACAAAAUAUGGCUUUAUUAUUAACCAAACAGCCCUCAGUGAUGCAGUGAAGACCUCUCUGGUGAAGCUAUCCCGGUUCAGUCUGGAGAGACCCUGCCUCAACCCAUCAGUCAUACAGCAGAGACCAGGGACGAGUCCCUGCUAAUGCAGUAACUGGCUCCCCCUUAACUCUUAUGACCCAUCUGAGGUCUUGGGCUCUGACUACUUAGGACAACAUUACCACUUCUUGGGGAAGGUCUUGGUCUGCAUGAUCACAAGAGGGCUGCAGCAGUUCCUGACGUCACAUCUACACACGUCAACAUCCAGAGGAAGAGAAAAGACCAGGUCUCCUUCUGAAAGUCGGAGAGAACUUCUCCAGAAGCUCCCCGUGGGCCACUGCUCUUAUCUCAUUGGUCAGAAUGAGAUCGCGUGCCCACUACUAAACCAGUCAUGGCAAGGGAAAUGAGACAGAGGCCCCAUUGGGGCCUCUUGUAGUCAUUCCUGCACCUUGAGAGGCACGGAAGAAAUAGAAUAUGUGACCAGACUGGAGGUGGCCAUGCCAAAGGAUCACUGGACACUACAGACACUACAGACACCUCCUGGAUCUAGACACUGUUCUCAGGAAAAAGGGAGGUCCCCACAUAACAGAGAUUCAGUUUCCAUAUGACUCCUCACACACACCCCCAUUGGAAUG